AUGGCAGCCAAGAACUGCACUUGCAGCUGUGGUAUGGGAACCAGAUUCUUCUAGCUUGGCAAGUGGCUAUGGCCAGACCACAAAUGAUGGCUCCCAUUUGUCUGGUGGAAAACCGCAAGGAACAGCUGUCUGUGAACCAAAAAGCCAUCGAGAUUCUGGACAGGAUUUCACAGCCAGUGGUAGUCGUGGCUAUUGUUGGAUUGUAUCGAACAGGGAAGUCUUACCUGAUGAACCAUCUGGCAGGACAGAAUCAUGGGUUCCCUCUGGGCUCCACUGUGCAGUCUCAAACCAAGGGUAUCUGGAUGUGGUGUGUGCCACAUCCCACCAAGCCAAAGCACACCCUGGUCCUCCUGGACACCGAAGGCCUGGGGGAUGUGGAAAAGGGUGACCCUAAGAAUGACUCAUGGAUCUUCACCCUGGCUGUGCUUCUGAGCAGCACCUUCGUCUACAACAGCAUGAGCACCAUAAACUACCUGGCCCUGGAGCAGCUGUAUUAUGUCACAGAACUCACCGAGCUGAUCAGGGCAAAGUCUUCCCCAAAUCCUGAUGGAAUAAAGAAUUCUUCAGAGUUUGUGAGUUUCUUUCCAGACUUUAUCUGGACUGUUCGGGAUUUCAGGCUGGAGCUGAAGUUCAAUGGAGAAGACAUCACGGAGGACCAGUACCUGGAGAACGCACUGAAGCUGAUCCCAGGCAACAAUCCUAGAGUCCAUGCAUCCAAUUUGUCCAGGGAGUGCAUCAGACAUUUCUUUCCUAAACGGAAGUGUUUUGUCUUUGACCGGCCAACGAAUGACACAGAACUGUUACGAAAAAUUGAGACUAUCUCAGAAGACCAACUGGAGCCUAAGUUCCAGGAACAAACAAGGGCUUUUGUUUCUUACAUCUUCACCUAUGCAAAGAUCAAGACCCUCAGAGAGGGAAUUAAGGUUACUGGGAAUCGACUGGGGACUCUGGUGACGACCUACGUGGAUGCCAUCAACAGCGGAGCUGUGCCUUGUCUGGAUGAUGCGGUGACAACUCUGGCCCAGCGUGAGAACUCAGCUGCUGUGCAGAAGGCAGCUGACCACUACAGUGAGCAGAUGGCCCAGCGACUGAGGCUCCCCACAGACACGCUCCAGGAGCUGCUGGGUGUGCACACGGCCUGUGAGAAGGAAGCCAUUGCUCUCUUCCUGGAGCACUCCUUCAAGGAUGAAAACCAGCAAUUCCAGAACAAGCUGCUGGAAUUAAUAGAUGAGAAGCAAAGGAUUUUCCUGUUGAAGAAUGAAGAAGCAUCAGAUAAAUACUGCCAGGAAGAACUGAAUAGACUUUCAAAGGCUUUGGUGGAAAAUAUUUCAAAGUUUUCUGUUCCUGGAGGACAUAGGCUCUACAUGGGGAUGAGGGAAAAGAUUGAACAUGACUAUUGGCAGGUGCCCAGGAAAGGAGUAAAGGCAAGUGAAGUCUUCCAGAGCUAUCUGCAGUCACAGGCCACCAUCGAGAGUUCCAUCCUGCAGGCAGAUACAGCCCUCACUGCUGGGGAGAAGGCCAUUGCAGAGGAGCGGGCCCAGAAGGAGGCGGCUGAGAAGGAACAGGAGCUGCUAAGACAGAAGCAGAAGGAGCAGCAGCAGCUGAUGGAGGCUCAGGAGAGAAGUCACAAGGAAAACCUAGAGCAACUGAGAACGAAGGUGGAGCAGGAGAGAGAGCAGCUCAUCAAAGACCAUGAAAGAAUGCUGGAGAAGCAGCUGCAGAAUCAGAAGGCUUUGCUUGAAGAUGGAUUUAAGAAGAAAGCUGAGGAAAGAAUGGAGAAAUACAGCGAUUGAAACAUAACAUCUAUGAUAUGAACAAAAACAGUGGUUCCAUUUUAAACAAAAUUGUAGCAGGAUUCGCCACAGUGAUCUGUGUUCCUGCUUCCUUGCUUAUGGAGUCUGUAAGAAGCAUUGAAUUUCAAUAGAAUUCACUCUUCUUUUGAUGAAAUGAUAGACUGGGAAUAUCUACUUUGUCUUUUUUUGAAGCUUUUUGUUUUCAUUUUCAUUCAGCAAAUUUAAACAUAGAAAGUGCUUAUUAGAGGACAUCUAUGUAUUGGUGAAAUUAUUAAGGUUUAUUUUGUGGAGUAACUUACA